CGGGGGGGGUGCCUAAUAAUGCAGUCGAGCGCGGGAAGCGAGUGGAUCCCUUCGGGGUGAAGCUCGUGGAACGAGCGGCGGACGGGUGAGUAACACGUGGGCAACCUGCCUGUAAGAUCGGAAUAACUCCGGGAAACCGGGGCUAAUGCCGGGUAAUACUUUCUUUCGCAUGAAGGAAAGUUGAAAGAUGGCUUCUUGCUAUCACUUACAGAUGGGCCCGCGGCGCAUUAGCUAGUUGGUGAGGUAACGGCUCACCAAGGCGACGAUGCGUAGCCGACCUGAGAGGGUGAUCGGCCACACUGGGACUGAGACACGGCCCAGACUCCUACGGGAGGCAGCAGUAGGGAAUCUUCCGCAAUGGACGAAAGUCUGACGGAGCAACGCCGCGUGAACGAUGAAGGUCUUCGGAUCGUAAAGUUCUGUUGUUAGGGAAGAACAAGUACCGUGCGAAUAGAGCGGUACCUUGACGGUACCUAACGAGGAAGCCCCGGCUAACUACGUGCCAGCAGCCGCGGUAAUACGUAGGGGGCAAGCGUUGUCCGGAAUUAUUGGGCGUAAAGCGCGCGCAGGCGGUUCCUUAAGUCUGAUGUGAAAGCCCACGGCUCAACCGUGGAGGGUCAUUGGAAACUGGGGAACUUGAGGACAGAAGAGGAGAGUGGAAUUCCACGUGUAGCGGUGAAAUGCGUAGAUAUGUGGAGGAACACCAGUGGCGAAGGCGACUCUCUGGUCUGUUUCUGACGCUGAGGUGCGAAAGCGUGGGUAGCAAACAGGAUUAGAUACCCUGGUAGUCCACGCCGUAA
rnacentral:rRNA from 1 species